rnacentral:rRNA from 1 species
GCUUACGGCCACACCUCCCUGAGCACGCCCGAUCUCGUCUGAUCUCGAAGCUAAGCAGGGUCGGGCCCGUAUUACUUGGAUGGGAGACCGCCUGGGAUACCAGGUGCUGUAAGCC